CUACGGGGUGCACCAGUGAGGAAUAUUGCACAAUGGGGGGAACCCUGAUGCGGCAACGCCGCGUGGAGGAUGACGCAUUUCGGUGUGUAAACUCCUUUUAUAUGUCAAGAAAAUGACGGUAGCAUAUGAAUAAGCACCGGCUGACUCCGUACCAGCAGCCGCGGUAAUACGGAGGGUGCAAGCGUUACUCGGAAUCACUGGGCGUAAAGGACGCGUAGGCGGGUUGGAAAGUCAGGUGUGAAAUCCUACAGCUUAACUGUAGAACUGCACUUGAAACUUCUAAUCUAGAGUAUGGGAGGGGGAGAUGGAAUUAGUGGUGUAGGGGUAAAAUCCGUAGAUAUCACUAGGAAUACCUAAAGCGAAGGCGAUCUCCUGGAACAUUACUGACGCUAAGGCGUGAAAGCGUGGGGAGCAAACAGGAUUAGAUACCCCCGUAGUC
rnacentral:rRNA from 1 species